CCAGUGACGACAUUCACCUUCUGCUAUAAAACUGAUGGAAUUACCAGCUUCCGCACAAACUCAUCGCAUCAGUCUUGUGAGCUUCACAAUUGCCGAUAAUUUUCAUACACGAACUUAUUUCCAAAGUUUUCAAUUUUCAUUUGAUAAAAUUCACGCACACUUUUAAAUCCUCAUCAUGAGUUCAUCUGCUUCAGUUGGGAAACUUGGGGGUCGAGUUUGGCGACUCCAGAAAGAAAUGACGACCGCUGUCCAGCCUUUGAUGGGUGGAAGCAGUGGGAAGCUCGAGGGCAGGGUUUGGAGACUUCAAAACAGCCAAGAAGGGUCCACAAGGUCCUUUUCUUCUGAAUCAAGCGGAAAGUCGUCCUUCGGGUCGUCAAGAUCUGAGAACCCCUUUGGCAGUUGGUCCGCGAGGUCGUGAUCAUGCUGGGAUCUUCCGUAGUCACCAUCUUAUAAUAGCCUUCAAAGCUCAACGCAUCUCAAAUCUCAUGAAAACUACACACAAACAAACGACUUUAUCUCAUCCUGUCAAAUCAACAUGGCCCACCAUGCUUGGCAAAAGAUUUUCCAUGCCGUCUUUUGGAAAGAUACCUCCCAUUGUGCCACUUUAGUUGUUAUUGAAGGACUUUUUUUUUACUCCUUAGCUGUGUACGCAUCUCUAGUCAUGAAAAUUAAUUUUCGAAUCAUGCAGUUUGCAUUAUUGUAUUUAUUUUGGUAUUUAUUAUAGACUGAUUGUUCAUGAAAGUGAAUGUUCCAAUCGUGUAAUGCAAAAAUUGUACACAAAUUUAAAGAAUUUAUUAUACUUUUCACUUUAACUUGAAAGUUUUAUGUGGCCAAUUCAAUUCAAAAUCGUUGAUCAAAUAUACGUAUUUAAUCUAGAAAUAA